UUAUUGGAGAGUUUGAUCCUGGCUCAGGAUGAACGCUGGCGGCGUGCCUAAUACAUGCAAGUCGAGCGAAUGGAUUAAGAGCUUGCUCUUAUGAAGUUAGCGGCGGACGGGUGAGUAACACGUGGGUAACCUGCCCAUAAGACUGGGAUAACUCCGGGAAACCGGGGCUAAUACCGGAUAACAUUUUGAACCGCAUGGUUC
rnacentral:rRNA from 1 species